ensembl:lncRNA
GUGCUGUGAGAGCCCAACGAUGUUCAGGCCAAACCAGCUAUUACACCAUGAGCGUAAAGUAUUUGGACAGUAAAGCGUUUUGAAAUACCUCCUGCUAGGACAUUUGGAAGAAGUUAAUGUGAAGAAAAAAAUAUUAUGAGUUAAUCAAGCGAUUUCUCCAGAAGAGGUAAUUGUGUCUGCCUCGUGGAAUGGGGCAGAAGAAAAUCGAACUACGCUGAAGGCCAGUUGUGUGUCCAUGAAGAGAAACUGAGCAAUGGAAACACCAGGAGACGCUCCAGAGGGACAGAGACACAUCCGUCGGGAGAGACCUCCAUCACCUGCACCCACUUGUGUAUCCAUGAAGAGUGACCUGUCAGAAGAUCGGCACAUCAACUUCCAGAAUGAAGAUGAUACAAAUGGAUCAAGAAGCCAAAUGGAGGAAUGUAAACCAGAUGCUGUCAGUGACCAGUUCACCCAGAGUCAACAUGGGGAUCUGAAGCACAUAUUCCAGGUUUGAUGCACACAUUUAAUGCAGUGCUGCUAUGGAGUAUAUGUUCAUAAUUAGUCAAAUACACCACCACUCAAAAUAUGGAAUUACUCACUAAUGUACUUGUUUUUGAAAGAAAAUUACAUUUUUCAAUUCAAAUAACCUAAGAUUGACCAUAAAUAUAAUAUAGGUAAUCAUUAGGUCUGUUAUGGCGUGUUUGACAGGUUAU